AUGUUUAAAUGUUUUAUGUGAUAAGAAAUUUUAAAUAAGGUACAGCUAAAUGAUAUCGUUAAUUAUUUUUCAUUUGUUUCAUGGAGGUUUAAAAAACUAUUUUAUACUUAUUAGGCGAAAAAGACGAUCAAAUAAACUAAUUUCUGCCAAACAAGUGUAACAUAUGUUACACAUGUUUGUUUGUAAUUUUUGAGUUGCUGAAUAUGAUGAUAUCAGUUUUAAUUGUCAAAAUUCGUAUUAAAGGGGUCAAAAAUAAAAAAAAACCUUAUUUUGGUCCCUUUAAGACAAAUUUUUACCAUUUUCCCACAGCUUAAGACAAAUAAAACUGACUAUUACUAUCGUAUUCAGCAGCUCAAAAACUAUAAGAAAACAUGUAUAACUUACAUUACAUUUCUUAGGCAGAAAUCGGUCUAUUUAAUCUAUUUUGUCCUUUAUAGUAUUCCUUAUUCAGUGUAUUAGUUAUAUUAAUAUUUCAAUGAUUAAUAAGUAUAAAUGCAAACAUUAAAUGCGAUGUUUUAUCUUGCAGAUGAUAAUAUUGCAAGUAAAGAAAAUGAAUAUCCGGCCGUAGCAGAGAUACAAGAUGAAAUUCGUGAAGAAGUUUUACAUAAGAAAUGCAACAAUGUCCCACUUAAGGAAUUACAAAUAAAAUUAUCAAGAAUCGAUGACAGUAUUCUACAUAAAAUAGCCAAAAAAAAUGAAAGUUAUAAAAAAACAAUUACAAAAAGAAAGUGUUCGACUAAAUUAAGAAUAUAACCAGAAGUCUAUUCUUUAUGUACUUAUGGAGUUAUAACCUUCAAAUAAGAGUUAUAAUCUACGUUACAAAUUGGACAUCGUUUUGAUUGCAAUUGCAAGAUACAAUCCAUACAACAACAUAAGUGACCACAAGGAAUAAAUAUAUGAUCUGCUCUUUUUACUAAGCAGACGCUGCAACAGUUAGAUGUACGUAUAUUAGAUAUUGGCUGCACUGGGUAAUAUGGAAUAUCUUCUUUUUCGGUUUCAUCUGGAAAAAUAUUGCCAUAAUCAUCGGGAGGAAUGCAAUAAAUAUCUUCAUCACCUGCAAUAAAAGGAAAUUAUGAUUUUAGGGUACAAUUAGCAAAUGUUUGUUUUAUAUGUAACAUUAAUGCAGUUUAAAAUAGAGAAAAACAGAAAAUUACACUUACUCAAAAUUUAUAAAUUUUCUGACAAUACUUUAUACUUUAUAUGUAUAAUAAUUUUUAUUAUUACAAAGUAUAGUAUAUUAUAAGUAAAAUAAUUUACUGAAUAUUGAUUCUUUUAGCCUUUAAAUUUUGUUUAUGCUUCAUAGAAGAUAAGAUAAUACAUAUGAUAUAUAGCGUUCUUAUCAAAACAAAAUCUAUUAUAAGUGUAAUUUUCUGUUUUUCUCUAUUUUAAACUGCAUUAAUGUUACAUAUAAAACAAACAUUUGCUAAUUGUACCCUAAAAUCAUAAUUUCCUUUUAUUGCAGGUGAUGAAGAUAUUUAUUGCAUUCCUCCCGAUGAUUAUGGCAAUAUUUUUCCAGAUGAAACCGAAAAAGAAGAUAUUCCAUAUUACCCAGUGCAGCCAAUAUCUAAUAUACGUACAUCUAACUGUUGCAGUGUCUGCUUAGUAAAAAGAGCAGAUCAUAUAUUUAUUCCUUGUGGUCACUUAUGUUGUUGUAUGGAUUGUAUCUUGCAAUUGCAAUCAAAACGAUGUCCAAUUUGUAACGUAGAUUAUAACUCUUAUUUGAAGGUUAUAACUCCAUAAGUACAUAAAGAAUAGACUGAAAAUAUAACUUUUUUAAUA